UCGGAUAGUGCCCGCAGUGCCCAAGACUGUGGCGCACAACUACAAAGUACUCGGGGGCUUGUCGGGCAUGCACCCCAGGCCCACGAGUAGACCUUGGACGGCCCACUAAGGGGCGUACUCGGACACGAUCAGAACAAGGGAUAGGUGUAUCCCACCGGACUAGUCAUGUAUGUAUAUGGAAAACUACUCGGGCCUUACCGAGUAGAAAUCUGUAAUAGUACUCGACUAGGACUCAGACUUGUAACCCUGCCCUCCCGUGUAUAUAAGGGCGGGCAGGGCCCCC
rnacentral:lncRNA from 1 species